GCCAGCAUGGCAUAAUGGUUUGAGUGUUGGAUUGCGACUCUGGAGACCAGGGUUCGAUUCCCUGCUUAGCCA
rnacentral:tRNA from 1 species